rnacentral:rRNA from 1 species
UUCUAAUAGAAUUUAUUAUUAGUAAAAUCUGCUCAAUGAACAUUUCAAUAGCCGCAAUUUAUUUGUGCUAAGGUAGCAUAAUCAUUUGUCUUUUAAUUAAAGACUAGAACGAAAGAUUUAACAUUUAAAUUUCUAUUAAAUAAAUCAAAUUUAAAUUUAUUUUAAAUAUAAAAAAAUAUUUAUAUUUAAAAAAGACGAUAAGACCCUAUUAAACUUAACUUAUGUUAAACUGGGGAAGUCAAUUAAUUAUAAUUUUAAUCAUUUUUACAUAAAAUUUAUAGACCUAAUAUAAUUAAUUAUAAGAACAAGUUACUAUAGGGAUAACAGCGUAAUAAUUUUUUAAAGAUCUUAUAUUUAAAAUAAUUUACGACCUCGAUGUUGAAUAAUAUUCUAUUAUAAUGCAAUAAUUUAAUAAGAAAGUCUGUUCGACUUUUAAUAAAUUACA